AAUGUGUUCUAUUAAUCUACAAUUCAAAGACCCCCUCAGCACCCAUCCCUGCACAGUGGAGCGGCCGAGUGAAGCUGUCUGAUGAAGUCUCCUCUGGAAACGCCUCUCUGCUAAUUUCUGAGCUCACACUGGAGGACACUCAGGAUUACACGUGUAUAGUAGGGAUCAACAGGGAAUGUGUCACUCACAGGGCUGUUAAACUGACAGUUCAAGGACCUCCAAAGCGAGAUUCAACUACUUCAAAAACAACGACCACAACACCAACAACUAGACCAUCAGCAACCCCGACAACUAGACCACCAGCAACCCAGACAACUAGACCAUCAGCAACCCCGACAACUAGACCAUCAGCAACCCCGACAACUAGACCAUCAGCAACCCCGACAACUAGACCAUCAGCAACCCCGACAACUAGACCAUCAGCAAACCAGACAACUAGACCAUCAGCAACCCAGAAAACCAGCCCAUGCCCAACCCAGCAGGGGAAUGCAGCAGCACAGAGGAGAUCGUUCUGCAUGAAACCGCUUUGAUAACUGGAUUCUAAUUGGAUUGCAUGUACCUGUAUUUAGUGAGUGUUGUGAGUUAAACCGAAGUUCAAUUAUUCCUGUGUGUUGCUGCUGCUGGAUCCCUAUGCCAGUAUAGUCCAUUGUGAAAGAGUAUUGCUGUUACUGUAACCCGCUGCAUCCUGCCUGUGCCUGCAUCUCUUCAUUUCUAUAUCAUUUUAAUAAGAGCGUUUUAGCAUUUUGAUAUAUUUCAGGUUCUAUUCAUCCCUGAUUGCUGUUGCUUUAUUUGUUAAUAAAGUAGCUGCUGCUGUUUACUAUAGAUCAUUGUUACAUACAGUUCUAAAUUCUUUUUAGGAAUAUUAUGUAUAAAAUGCAUUAGAGAAAAAGCUUCUACUUCGUCUUGGAAAUUAAAAACAGUGAAUUACUAAAUGUUAAUUGCACAUUGAAAUGUGUUAUUGCUUUUCCUUUUUUGCUUAUGAAUAAUAAAAUAUUUAGCUGUG